CUCUAGCUUUUCCAAGCGCUCUCUUUCCAACAACUGACUUCUUCUUUCGUCCAAGUACUUUCAUCAAGCUUCUUCUCUUCGAGAAUCAUGGCAUAUAAAAACAAAGCAAGGCUCGCUAAGAGGAGUUUUAGCUAAGUAAAGAGAGGUUAGCUUUAGCUGAAGCCAGGGAUCAGACUUGUCACCGGGAUCCAUAAUCCCUCUUUGUAUACAAGGAUGCCAUUUUAUCCGGGCUUUAUAUUUCUCCAUCCUUUUUAUUUGCACACUCUUAGCUGAAGUUCAAAUACACCCAUUUCAGUUUGCACCCAAUGCUUGGAGGAUCAUCCAUUGUUUAAUGGUCUAGUACCUUUCAAAGGGCAUUACUAUGUCCGUUCCUUUGUUUAGUAAAAAAUUUCAAUUUAAGAACUCUGCCAGCAGUUCAAUUAACCACAGACCGAAUAAGCCCCAUAUUAUUAAUAGCACCUCGAUCGCCGUGAACAACACAAACUAGAAAAAGGAAUUCUUUAAAUGAUUUGAUAAGGGGGUGACAGGGAACAUUGUUCCGUUUGAGCUUCGGCAAGGUAAUUGAUGGAAACGCGGACUCCACCCAUCUCUCUGAUGUAGAUAAAACUACCUAUGAGGAGCUGAUCCAAGAUAACGGUCAAUGACUCUCGUGGGAGCUUCUUAACGAGAAGAAUUUAAAAAUGCUCGGCCUUUCUAACAUCGAUGAAAAAAGUAUAUUUAGUUGUGAAUUUUUUAAUUUUGAUUAUUAUUGUUACUAACUUGCUCCUCUUUUUCGGGUAAGACCGUAAAGGCUUUGACCAUCAAACUCCAACCGUAUUUCUCUAUUUCCGUAAGAAUCUGACCGUAGGGGAAUUCAGCCUUGCAGACUCAGCAAACCUCGGUCCUGUUUUCUUCUUGAUCAGUGUCCUUCGCCAUCCCCUGUCUUCGAGCUCUCCGUAUUAUAUUCCGUAUCAUUCACAUGCUUCUUGGAGUUGGUGGAUGGCUUGUGAAAGUUUUGAGAUUUUCUUAGACUUUCCUCGGCCUUGAUAUAUUUCCAUGCUAUUCCCUGCACCACAAAAAUGUGCCUGUGCAGUUGGCCAUGCCCACUAAAGAGAGCUGGUUAUAUUAUUUGUGCACAACUUCAUGUUGGUCUUCCCAAGAUAGAAAGUGGGUAACAAAAUUAUUAUCGUCGGAGCUGCUUUUAUGUCCAAGACAUCGUCAACAAAUUCGAUUGUACCAUGUCUUUAUCUUUAUGUUUUUUUUUGAAAAUAAUGUCUUUAUCUUUAUAUUGUUAAUCAUUUAUGACAUGUAAGAAAUUGAAUUUUAAACAAUUAUAUUGGUCAUGAA